rnacentral:rRNA from 1 species
GGGCCCGCACAAGCAGUGGAUUAUGUGGUUUAAUUCGACGCAACGCGAAGAACCUUACCAGGAUUUGACAUCCCACUAACGAAGUAGAGAUACAUUAGGUGCCCUUCGGGGAAAGUGGAGACAGGUGGUGCAUGGUUGUCGUCAGCUCGUGUCGUGAGAUGUUGGGUUAAGUCCCGCAACGAGCGCAACCCCUAUUGUUAGUUGCUACGCAAGAGCACUCUAGCGAGACUGCCGUUGACAAAACGGAGGAAGGCGGGGACGACGUCAAAUCAUCAUGCCCCUUAUGUCCUGGGCUACACACGUAAUACAAUGGUGGUUAACAAAGCGAAGCAAGACCGCGAGGUGGAGCAAAUCGCAAAAAGCCAUCCCAGUUCGGAUUGCAGGCUGCAACUCGCCUGCAUGAAGUUGGAAUUGCUAGUAAUCGUGGAUCAGCAUGCCACGGUGAAUACGUUCCCGGGCCUU